rnacentral:rRNA from 1 species
AUACGGGAGGCAGCAGUAGGGAAUCUUCCGCAAUGGACGAAAGUCUGACGGAGCAACGCCGCGUGAGUGAUGAAGGUUCUCGGAUCGUAAAGCUCUGUUGCCAGGGAAGAACAGCUAGGAGAGUAACUGCUCUUAGCGUGACGGUACCUGAGAAGAAAGCCCCGGCUAACUACGUGCCAGCAGCCGCGGUAAUACGUAGGGGGCAAGCGUUGUCCGGAAUUAUUGGGCGUAAAGCGCGCGCAGGCGGCCUUGUAAGUCUAGUGUUUAAUCUCGAAGCUCAACUUCGAUUCGCACUGGAAACUGCAAAGCUUGAGUACAGAAGAGGAAAGUGGAAUUCCACGUGUAGCGGUGAAAUGCGUAGAGAUGUGGAGGAACACCAGUGGCGAAGGCGACUUUCUGGGCUGUAACUGACGCUGAGGCGCGAAAGCGUGGGGAGCAAACAGGAUUAGAUACCCCUGUAGUCCG